rnacentral:rRNA from 1 species
UAACACAUGCAAGUACGAACGGUAACAGGCCGCUGUGAUCCCUUCGGGGUGAACUUGGCGCUGACGAGUGGCGAACGGGUGGGUAAUGCUUAGGAAUCUACCCAGUAGUGGGGGACAACCCGAGGAAACUCGGGCUAAUACCGCAUACGCUCUACGGAGGAAAGCGGGGGAUCUUCGGACCUCGCGCUAUUGGAUGAGCCUAAGUCGGAUUAGCUUGUUGGUGGGGUAAAGGCCCACCAAGGCGACGAUCCGUAGCUGGUCUGAGAGGACGAUCAGCCACACUGGGACUGAGACACGGCCCAGACUCCUACGGGAGGCAGCAGUGGGGAAUAUUGGACAAUGGGCGCAAGCCUGAUCCA